rnacentral:tRNA from 1 species
AGGGAGAUGGUUUAGUGGCUAUAACACGAGCCUCACACGCUCGGGGUCGCGGGUUCGAAACCCGCUCUCCCUA